UACGGGGGGGGGCAAGCGUUGUUCGGAAUUACUGGGCGUAAAGGGCUCGUAGGCGGCCAACUAAGUCCGACGUGAAAUCCCCAGGCUUAACCUGGGAACUGCGUCGGAUACUGGAUGGCUUGAAUCCGGGAGAGGGAUGCGGAAUUCCAGGUGUAGCGGUGAAAUGCGUAGAUAUCUGGAGGAACACCGGUGGCGAAGGCGGCGA
rnacentral:rRNA from 1 species